UUUAUUAGAGAUUCUAUAUUUGCAUAAUAUUUGAUGUCAGGUUAGUAAAGAUAUAAGUGACGAAGAUUUUCCCGAAAGGUCGAUAAAAAUUGCAAAAAAUUACUGCAGAAACCCAACGAGAGAUAAUAGAGGGCCAUGGUGUUAUACUUUGGAACCUUCGCUUAUAGACGACGAAUGUGACGUACCACUUUGUAAUUUUGGAGAAUGCAAACUAUCGGGACCAGGAGCUGAAUAUGGAGGGACUAAAGAAAUCGCAACGUCUGCAAGUAAAUGUAAAUCAUGGCACAAACGAUACGAGCUUGAAGGUUCGAAGAGUCAAAAAUUCAGAGAUCAGGACUUUCCUGAUCGAUCACGUAGGGAGGCAGAAAAUUUCUGCAGAAAUCCGUCAGGUGACGUCGGAGGGCCAUGGUGUUACGUCGAAGAAGGUUUCGAAUAUGUUCAGAAACAGUAUUGUGAUAUUCCAUUUUGCGACGAUAGAGAUUGCGUAGCAUUUACGAAGAAUUCGUCUAAUUAUGCAAUACUCACAAAAUUACACGCACCCAGUGGUAACACUUCGUUUUGGGUUAAAUUGUGGAAUCCAGAUGACGAGAAGAAGGUAUACACAUUUA